rnacentral:misc_RNA from 1 species
AAGUCGUAACAAGGUUUCCGUAGGUGAACCUGCGGAAGGAUCAUUAACACAUCCUUUUCUCUAUCUACACCUAGGCGCACUCGCAGCGAGCCUGCCAGAGCAAGCGUCGGCACUGACCAUGGCCUGAGCGGAGCCGGUUUUUCGGAACCGGAUUCUGCUGGUCUGCCGGCUAUUCGUCCUUCGAGGCGAGCGCUUGACUCGGUACGGUAUACAGCCUCUCGCCAUGGCUGGCCCCCAUUUGACACCCCUUUUUUCACCUGCCUUUCUGUACUGUUUCGCUUUGCCUGUGCCUGAUGCGCCUCGUGCGUGUCGGUUGGGCUGAGCCUCGCAGCGCGCGCCCUUUGCGGCCGCUUGCUGCUUGUACAACGAAACACAACUCUUAACAGCGGAUAUCUCGGUUCUC